rnacentral:rRNA from 1 species
GGGGAAUAUUGGACAAUGGGCGAAAGCCUGAUCCAGCGACGCCGCGUGGGUGAAGAAGGCCUGCGGGUUGUAAAGCCCUUUCAGUGGGGAAGAAAAGCCUCGUCCUAAUACGACGGGGUCUUGACGUAACCCAUAGAAGAAGCACCGGCUAACUCUGUGCCAGCAGCCGCGGUAGUACAGAGGGUGCGAGCGUUAAUCGGAAUUACUGGGCGUAAAGCGCGCGUAGGCGGCUUUGCAAGUCGGGUGUGAAAUCCCCAGGCUUAACCUGGGAACUGCAUUCGAGACUGCAUUGCUAGAGUAUGGGAGAGGGAAGUGGAAUUUCAGGUGUAGCGGUGAAAUGCGUAGAUAUCUGAAGGAACAUCAGUGGCGAAAGCGACUUCCUGGACCAAUACUGACGCUCAUGUGCGAAAGCGUGGGGAGCA